AGGACGUGCAUUUCUCAGCACCCAGUCAACUGCCAGAAGUGACUCAAACACAGGCCACCAGUGGAACUCGGCUGUACCACUGCAGUGCUGCGGAAAUUGCCAGCACCAGCGGCUUUGCAACAGCUGUUUCGCAGCAUGUCGGAGACAAUGCCUACGAAACUAUUGGCCCUGAU